rnacentral:sRNA from 1 species
CUUGAUUAAUACGAUGAAUCAUGAUACAUUAAGAAUAGUUAUUUUUGUUCGGUACAUGACUUCUUCGCAAAGUGUUGCGUCUUGAAUGAUAUUUGAGCAGGAAUAGUAAUAAAACGUGGAUGUAUUCAUAUCCACACAGGAGGACAUUUAUUAUGUUACAAGGUAAAGUAAAAUGGUUUAACGCUGAAAAAGGCUUCGGUUUCAUCGAAGUAGACGGACAAGACGAUGUAUUCGUACAUUUCUCUGCUAUUCAAGGCGACGGUUUCAAAACACUUGAAGAAGGUCAAGAUGUUUCUUUCGAAAUCACUGAAGGCGCUCGUGGACCACAAGCUGCUAACGUAACUAAAGCGUAAGCUUUUGUUAUCUAUAAAAAAGCUCCCAUCUGGGGGCUUUUUUUUA